rnacentral:lncRNA from 1 species
CAGGAGGGUCACACGUUCAAGGCCUCCCAGGGGCGAUUUGGUGAGACUCUGUCUCAAAAUUUCUUUAAAGCGAUAACUGACGAUAAUUACUCCUGGCUGACUGUGGUCAAAAGUUGCAAAUUGGCAGAGGAAACCAGCCUGGAGCACUGGCCUUGGAGCAGGUUUGGGGAGCAGUGCUAGAGUGCAGUUUUAGAGCUGGCAGCAGCAGCAGCCCAGGAGGAGAAGAAACAAGUUGGGCAUGGUGGCACACGAUGUAAUCUCAGCAAAAGUUGAAAUCCCAGAAGAAGCAAGCUUACCUCCAGCAUCAGAGGCCUUCUCAACAGAACUGAUGUAUCUGGCAACUUUUUCUAGGACAGGCACAUUUAGUGUCAUUCACUAACCUGAACAACAAACAGGAG